rnacentral:lncRNA from 1 species
AAUUUUUGUAUCCUUCAGAUGAGGCAAUCAUGGUCGAGAUCAUCAGAGGUCCUAUCAGGGUGACUUAAUAUGAAUCAAAUGUUAUAAAUUUUGAAUAGGAUCGGACUGGGAUCAGAUCUAUCGCACGAAUUUCGGAGCAAUCUCAUAUCAUCUUAUCUUCAUCUCAAGUUUAUCCUAGGAUUCAUGAUGCAAUCAGAGAGGAAGAAAAGAUCCUAGAGAGACAAAAUCCGUAAAGAGAGAGAAAAGUCUAGAGAGAGAAUCUAGAGAGAGAAAAUGUAGAGAGAA